CAUCAGAGGCAUCUCCUUAUGAUUAAAGAAUUUCGGAAACGGAUAGGCUCGCGUGACAUUAGCUAGACGGCGGGGUAACGGCCCACCGUGGCGACGAUGUCUAGGGGUUCUGAGAGGAAGGUCCCCCACACUGGAACUGAGACACGGUCCAGACUCCUACGGGAGGCAGCAGUGAGGAAUAUUGGUCAAUGGUCUGACGACUGAACCAGCCAUGCCGCGUGAAGGUCACGGCCCUAUGGGUCUUAAACUUCUUUUGCAAGGGAGCAAUAAGCCUCACGUGUGGGGCGAUGAGAGUACCUUGCGAAUAAGCAUCGGCUAACUCCGUG
rnacentral:rRNA from 1 species